rnacentral:rRNA from 1 species
AGGAAGUAAAAGUCGUAACAAGGUUUCCGUAGGUGAAACUGCGGAAGGAUCAUUAAUGAAUUUAUAAUCCGGCGAGACGAAGGACGAGGACUGUCGCUGGCCUUUCAUCGAGGCAUGUGCACGCUCUCUUCUGGACUUUCGCCGUAUGGGCGCGGGGCGACCCGCGUCUUCAUAUACCUCUUCGUGUAGAAAGUCUUUGAAUGUUUUUACAAUCAUCGAGUCGUGACUUCUAGGAGACGCGAUUCUUUGAGACAAAAGUUAUCACAACUUUCAGCAAUGGAUCUCUUGGCUCUCGCAUCGAUGAAGAACGCAGCGAAUCGCGAUAUGUAAUGUGAAUUGCAGAUCUACAGUGAAUCAUCGAAUCUUUGAACGCACCUUGCGCUCCUCGGUGUUCCGAGGAGCAUGCCUGUUUGAGCGUCAGUAAAUUCUCAACCCCUCUCGAUUUGCUUCGAGUGGGGCUUGGAUAGUGGGGGCUGCCGGAGACCCGGAAUUCAUUCCGGGACUCGGGCUCCUCUGAAAUGCAUCGGCUUGCGGUCGACUUUCGACUUUGCGCGACAAAGCUUUCGGCGUGAUAAUGAUCGCCGUUCGCUGAAGCGCAUGAAUGAAUGGUCCCGUGCCUCUAAUCAGUCGACGCCUUCUGGGCGUCUUCCUUAUAGACGUUUGACCUCAAAUCA